GCUUAUUCCAAAGGAAGACCGUAAAAAGAUCCACCAGCACUUAUUCCAAGGGAGUUGUUGUUGCAAAGAAAGAUUUUGAAAUUCAACAUGAGGAGAUUGG
rnacentral:misc_RNA from 1 species